rnacentral:misc_RNA from 1 species
CUGGAAUCGCAAGACUCCCAACCCCUGUGAACGUACCGAAACGUUGCCUCGGCGGGCCUCGCGCCCGCCGGCGGCCCCUUACUCUUUGCCUCUCGCGUUGUCUCUCCGAGUAUCGCAGAAUGCAUAA